rnacentral:rRNA from 1 species
UACAGAGGUCUCAAGCGUUGUUCGGAAUCACUGGGCGUAAAGGGAGCGUAGGCGGGUUCUUAAGUUAGGUGUUUAAUCCCGGGGCCCAACCCCGGACCGGCACUUAAAACUGGGAAUCUUGAAUAGUGGAGAGGUCGGUGGAAUUGGGGGUGUAGCGGUGGAAUGCGUAGAGAUCCCCAAGAACACCAGUUGCGAAGGCGGCCGACUGGACACAUAUUGACGCUGAGGCUCGAAAGCAUGGGGAGCAAACAGG